rnacentral:lncRNA from 1 species
UAUAUGUGUUGGAUUGAUACUGUUCUAUAUGUGUUGGGAUUCUCACUGUUCUAUAUGUGUUGGGAUUUGAUACUGUUCUAUAUGUGUUGGGAUUUGAUACUGUUCUAUAUGUGUUGGGAUUUGAUACUGUUCUAUAUGCGUUGGGAUUUGAUACUGUUCUAUAUGCGUUGGGAUUUGAUACUGUUCUAUACUUGUUGGGAUUCUCACACUGUUCUAUAUGUGUUGGGAUUUGAUAUUGUGAUCUUUAUUGCGUUUCGAUGUUCCUAACAUACAGUAUUGCUCACCAUGUGUCUGCUGUAGAAUAUGUAACUGUAUCGAUCCCCCCCUUCCCCAUCACUACAGAAUAUGUUGCCCUUUGACACUUAUAGGUGUUCUUAGACUCUCUCUUUUCACUAUGCACCCAUUGUCCCAUGCUCCACUUUCUUCCAAUUAAGGGUGCCAUUUGCCAUCUGCUUGUUUGGGGGAAAGUCAAGCCUGGUCAAAGGCUGAGGAUCAAUUUCUCAGGGAGACAUUGGACUGUUAGACUGUGAUUUGUUGGCCCGUGUUCGCCUCACUCUUUCUUUUCCUUUUUUCUCUCUUCCAUUCCCACCCCCUACCUGACAUUCUCUCCUUUUCUGCCUCGAUCCCUUUCCACCUCGAUCCCUUUCCACCUCUUCCUCUAUCCCACCCCCCCAUCUCAUGUCAAACCAUCAGCAAACUCAGAUCCCAGACUACGCUGAGCUGAUUGUGAAGUUCCUGGAGGCCUUGAUUGACCGCUACCUGCCAGGUACAGAGGAGGAGAGGAGCGAGGAGCAGCUCCGUACCCCCACCUCCCCAUACCCCCCCGUCACCCAGAGCCAGCUCAGCAUCACCGCUAACCUCAACCUCUCCAACUCCAUGACCUCCCUGGCCACCUCGCAGCACUCUCCAGGUUAGCAUAGUAUACAUGCGUGAACACAAUCUUUACUGAUCCACCCUGGGAGUAACACAGGCUCAACAGCAGACCAGUGCCCCUAGAGCACACGCACACACCAUUUAUACAUAGAGGCCGACACACAAAUACACCACUAACAUCCUACUUAUGAUGCUUGCUGAGUCCUACCAAUGUAAGGUGUUCUGUAGAGUAUCUCGAGGCAAAGUGUCUGUGGGUGCUGUUGCUGUGGGUUAUUUCUAGGUCUCCCGCUAGCUUUCUCUACAUUUGAAACUGGUAUCUCUUCUGACAAUAUUAUGAUGAUGCUGCUACUGCUGUGCACUAAAGAUAUCAUAUGUUUCAAGAUGUCAGAAAAGCACUGCAAGAUUUUAAUUAUUGCCAAAAACAACAUAAUUACUUGGACAAAUGCUG